CGUUGGCUGCUGUGUUUGACAUCGCACACAGCUCCUCCUACUUUCAGUUCCGUUGUCUGACAAAUUCGCUUUCAAAACACUAAAGGAAACAAAAUAAUAUAUAUUUAUCUAGCCAAAUUAUUAAUUAGAAACAUAAAAGGGAUCGGAGUUUUCAUAUUUCUUUUUUAUUCGAUUUAUUUGUAUUUAUCUGGACGUCGUAUUUUUUGGCCGACAGGAAGUGAAAUCAUCACACGUUUCGUGCUGACUUUCAGUUGGGAAGGUGCACAGAGAGACGGAGCAAGCAUGUUCGCACUAGUAAAGUGGGUAAAUGGCGAUGAUGACGGUAAAUUGAGUGUAAUUCCUACUGAGUGGAUUAAAGGAUUUAAUAUAGAGGAUUUUGAAGAAGAAGGCGACGAAGAUGAGCGCCAUUAUGUCGCAGAGUGGAGAAGAGGGAGUAAACGACCACGUGAAGGAUGGCAAGCUUUCGAUUGUGAAGUGGAGAAAGUGGGAGAAAGACAGUUGGAACUUGUUCAAAUGCAUGAUGCAAUGACAAGAGCAGAAGAGACUCCAGCUUUGAAAAGAAAGAAAUUUCAAAAUAGCAGAUAUGCUGAUGACUCCAGCAGUGACACCAAAGACACUCAAGUGUGCCAGGUUACAGUCUUCUACGCCUGAGGGAAUCUGCCAUUAAUACUGGGUUUUAAUUUGCAAUUAGGCCCUAGGUAGGAAGCAGUAUCUGUCACAGAAGGCUACAAGUGGACGCUGUUGAUGCUAUCCCUGUGAUAUUGGACAAAAUUGAGGAGCUAGGAAAGAGGGACAACUCUGGUCCUACUGACCACUCUAUUGACAGUGAGGCAAAUUGUCUUUGUGGAAGUCCACGGUAUGCUGCGUCGUCUGCAGGAUCAACUGUGUCCAUAUCCUCAAUUCCUCAAUCACAAGGAAAUGGAAGACAACUUGACAAGGUGGAAAUUCAUCCAGGAAGUGGAGUGUAUAUAGACCAGCUGGCUUGGACAAUAACAAAUAAGGCUACUUCCUACACUUCAUUUGUGAGAAAUGCUAUGCUCUCUGUGUUUGACAUUGAAACUUUAGUAAAAAGUAAUUUACGUGGUGGAAGUGGCAAACGACAGAAACAUGGGGAAAGAAGAGAGGCCUUGGAUCCCAACAAAGUGAAUGCCAUAUACGCUGCAACUCUGAUGAAAUUUCCACUUGCCACCAAAUCACAGCUUGGUUCUGUAAUUAAUGGGAAAAUAGCUGAACUUAGGUAUGGAAUAAAGAAACGCACACAAAAAUACACAAGGCUUUAAUGAUACUAACUGAUACUGGUACUGGGCUUAGAAGUCAUAAACUGUGCGGUAGUUCUAGUUCUGUUUUAGGUUGCCCCUGUAUUUUAUUUAGAUGUUUAAUUUCGAAAACAAAUGAAACAUCCCUUAUUAAAGUUUUCCCUGUUGACUUUAUUGUAAUGUUUUUGCACUUUUACCAUUGAUUUACCUUACUUUUACCAUGGUUUCCUACGGUUUUCAAUUAUUUUAAGAUAUCUUCAAAUAUUUCAAUAUGUCUGUUUGGCGAGCUACAGGGCCAAACUGCCAGUUAGAGAUACAUUCAAAUAUUUGAAGGUAUCUCUAAAUGAUGAUUCGGCUUGCCGUAAGAAAUAGUGUUAAUUUACAGUAGUGUUAUUGUAUCUAUAGUGAUAAUGUACAUGUGUAUAUCCGAGAAAUAUUAGGGGAUGAAAGUAAUGUUUUUUUUUUUUAAGUAAUUCAGUGAAACUCCAACUCUGUUUAUAACAAGAUUGCAAACAAGAUUUUGCAGUCGCUCAGAUGAGGGCUCAAACUGAUAACUGUUCAAUAAAGUUUUAUAAAUUUAUAAAAUGGGUGCAUUUUAUUUAUCGUACUACUGUAGCAGUCCACAAAACUUUGCAAACUGUUAUUGCAUGUGAAGUGAUCAAUUUGUAUUACUCUUUUCCUGCAUCACACGUUUACAUAUGUAAAUUCACAUUUUUCCAUAUAUGAGUAAAU